AUACGGAGGAUCCGAGCGUUAUCCGGAUUUAUUGGGUUUAAAGGGUGCGCAGGCGGCCAUUUAAGUCAGCGGUUAAAUCGAGGGGCUCAACCCCAUUCUGCCGUUGAUACUGGGUGGCUUGAUUGCGGUCGAGGUUGGCGGAAUUCGUUGUGUAGCGGUGAAAUGCAUAGAUAUGACGAAGAACACCGAUUGCGUAGGCAGCUGACCAGACCGCAAAUGACGCUCAUGCACGAAAGUGCGGGGAUCGAACAGGAUUAGAUACCCUGGUAGUCCGCACAGUAAACGAUGAAUACUUGUUUUCGGCGAUAUAAUGUCGGAGGCAAAGCGAAAGCGAUAAGUAUUCCACCUGGGGAGUACGCCGGCAACGGUGAAACUUAAAGGAAUUGACGGGG
rnacentral:rRNA from 1 species